UACGUAGGGUGCGAGCGUUAAUCGGAAUUACUGGGCGUAAAGGGCUCGUAGGCGGCCAACUAAGUCGGACGUGAAAUCCCUCGGCUUAACCGGGGAACUGCGUCCGAUACUGGAUGGCUUGAGGUUGGGAGAGGGAUGCGGAAUUCCAGGUGUAGCGGUGAAAUGCGUAGAUAUCUGGAGGAACACCGGUGGCGAAGGCGGCAUCCUGGACCAAUUCUGACGCUGAGUGAGCGAAAGCCAGGGGAGCAAACGGG
rnacentral:rRNA from 1 species